UCUUGGUCCAUUAGAGGAAGUAAAAGUCGUAACAAGGUCUCCGUUGGUGAACCAGCGGAGGGAUCAUUACCGAGUUUACAACUCCCAAACCCCUGUGAACAUACCUAUACGUUGCCUCGGCGGAUCAGCCCGCGCCCCGUAAAACGGGACGGCCCGCCCGAGGACCUUAAACUCUGUUUUUAGUGGAACUUCUGAGUAAAACAAACAAAUAAAUCAAAACUUUCAACAACGGAUCUCUUGGUUCUGGCAUCGAUGAAGAACGCAGCAAAAUGCGAUAAGUAAUGUGAAUUGCAGAAUUCAGUGAAUCAUCGAAUCUUUGAACGCACAUUGCGCCCGCCAGUAUUCUGGCGGGCAUGCCUGUUCGAGCGUCAUUUCAACCCUCAAGCUCAGCUUGGUGUUGGGACUCGCGGUAACCCGCGUUCCCCAAAUCGAUUGGCGGUCACGUCGAGCUUCCAUAGCGUAGUAAUCAUACACCUCGUUACUGGUAAUCGUCGCGGCCACGCCGUAAAACCCCAACUUCUGAAUGUG
rnacentral:rRNA from 1 species